GACGAACGCUGGCGGCGUGCCUAAUACAUGCAAGUAGAACGCUGAAGCUUGGUGCUUGCACCGAGCGGAUGAGUUGCGAACGGGUGAGUAACGCGUAGGUAACCUGCCUGGUAGCGGGGGAUAACUAUUGGAAACGAUAGCUAAUACCGCAUAAGAGUAGAUGUUGCAUGACAUUUGCUUAAAAGGUGCAAUUGCAUCACUACCAGAUGGACCUGCGUUGUAUUAGCUAGUUGGUGAGGUAACGGCUCACCAAGGCAACGAUACAUAGCCGACCUGAGAGGGUGAUCGGCCACACUGGGACUGAGACACGGCCCAGACUCCUACGGGAGGCAGCAGUAGGGAAUCUUCGGCAAUGGACGGAAGUCUGACCGAGCAACGCCGCGUGAGUGAAGAAGGUUUUCGGAUCGUAAAGCUCUGUUGUAAGAGAAGAACGAGUGUGAGAGUGGAAAGUUCACACUGUGACGUAUCUACCAGA
rnacentral:rRNA from 1 species